GAUGAACGCUGGCGGCGUGCCUAAUACAUGCAAGUCGAGCGAACGGACGAGAAGCUUGCUUCUCUGAUGUUAGCGGCGGACGGGUGAGUAACACGUGGAUAACCUACCUAUAAGACUGGGAUAACUUCGGGAAACCGGAGCUAAUACCGGAUAAUAUUUUGAACCGCAUGGUUCAAAAGUGAAAGACGGUCUUGCUGUCACUUAUAGAUGGAUCCGCGCUGCAUUAGCUAGUUGGUAAGGUAACGGCUUACCAAGGCAACGAUGCAUAGCCGACCUGAGAGGGUGAUCGGCCACACUGGAACUGAGACACGGUCCAGACUCCUACGGGAGGCAGCAGUAGGGAAUCUUCCGCAAUGGGCGAAAGCCUGACGGAGCAACGCCGCGUGAGUGAUGAAGGUCUUCGGAUCGUAAAACUCUGUUAUUAGGGAAGAACAUAUGUGUAAGUAACUGUGCACAUCUUGACGGUACCUAGUCAGAAAGCCACGGCUAACUACGUGCCAGCAGCCGCGGUAAUACGUAGGUGGCAAGCGUUAUCCGGAAUUAUUGGGCGUAAAGCGCGCGUAGGCGGUUUUUUAAGUCUGAUGUGAAAGCCCACGGCUCAACCGUGGAGGGUCAUUGGAAACUGGAAAACUUGAGUGCAGAAGAGGAAAGUGGAAUUCCAUGUGUAGCGGUGAAAUGCGCAGAGAUAUGGAGGAACACCAGUGGCGAAGGCGACUUUCUGGUCUGUAACUGACGCUGAUGUGCGAAAGCGUGGGGAUCAAACAGGAUUAGAUACCCUGGUAGUCCACGCCGUAAACGAUGAGUGCUAAGUGUUAGGGGGUUUCCGCCCCUUAGUGCUGCAGCUAACGCAUUAAGCACUCCGCCUGGGGAGUACGACCGCAAGGUUGAAACUCAAAGGAAUUGACGGGGACCCGCACAAGCGGUGGAGCAUGUGGUUUAAUUCGAAGCAACGCGAAGAACCUUACCAAAUCUUGACAUCCUUUGACAACUCUAGAGAUAGAGCCUUCCCCUUCGGGGGACAAAGUGACAGGUGGUGCAUGGUUGUCGUCAGCUCGUGUCGUGAGAUGUUGGGUUAAGUCCCGCAACGAGCGCAACCCUUAAGCUUAGUUGCCAUCAUUAAGUUGGGCACUCUAAGUUGACUGCCGGUGACAAACCGGAGGAAGGUGGGGAUGACGUCAAAUCAUCAUGCCCCUUAUGAUUUGGGCUACACACGUGCUACAAUGGACAAUACAAAGGGCAGCGAAACCGCGAGGUCAAGCAAAUCCCAUAAAGUUGUUCUCAGUUCGGAUUGUAGUCUGCAACUCGACUACAUGAAGCUGGAAUCGCUAGUAAUCGUAGAUCAGCAUGCUACGGUGAAUACGUUCCCGGGUCU
rnacentral:rRNA from 1 species